rnacentral:rRNA from 1 species
CCUACGGGGGGCUGCAGCCGAGAAUAUUCGACAAUGGGCGAAAGCCUGAUCGAGCGAUACCGCGUGGUGGAUGAAGUGCUUCGGCACGUAAACAUCUUUUAUGGAGGAGGAAGUUAUUGACGUUACUCCAUGAAUAAGGGGCUCCUAACUCUGUGCCAGCAGGAGCGGUAAUACAGAGGCCCCGAGCAUUAUCCGGAAUUACUGGGCGUAAAGAGUGCGUAGGUGGUCGUAUUAGUCGUUCGUUAAAACCCCCGGCUCAACCGGGGAGCGGCGAGCGAAACGGUACGACUAGAGAGCGUGAGAGGUCUGUGGAACUCUAGGUGUAGGGGUGAAAUCCGUUGAUAUCUAGGGGAACACCGAAAGCGAAGGCAGCAGACUGGCGCGUUUCUGACACUCAAGCACGAAAGCGUGGGUAGCGAACGGGAUUAGAUACCCUUGUAGUC